rnacentral:rRNA from 1 species
GACGAACGCUGGCGGCGUGCUUAACACAUGCAAGUCGAACGGGCCGGCCCUGCUGUUGUGGGGUGGUCGGGUGGCGAACGGGUGAGUGACAAGUGAGUAACCUGCCCUUGACUUUGGGAUGACUUCAGGAAACUGGGGGUAAUACCGGAUAGGAGCUCCUGCUGCAUGGUGGGGGUUGGGAAGUUUCGGCGGUUGGGGGUGGGCUGGCGGCUUGUCGGCUUGUUGGUGGGGUAGUGGCUUACCAGGGCUUCGACGGGUAGCCGGCCUGCGGGGGUGACCGGCGACAUUGGGACUGAGCUACUGCGCGGACCCCUACGGGAGGCAGCAGUGGGGAAUGUUGAAGAAUGGGCGGAAGCCGGAGGCAGCAACGCCGCGUGCGGGAUGACGGCAUCCGGUUUGUAACGCGCUUUCGCCGGGGACGAAGCGUGAGUGACGGUAAUGGGUAAAGAAGCACCGGCUAACUACGUG